AUACUUACCUGGCAGGGGAGAUACCAUAAUCACAAAGGUGGUUUAACCAGGGUGAGGCUUAUGCAUUGCACUCCAAAUGUGCUGACCCCUGUGAUUUUCCCAAAAGUCUGUAAUGGUAUGAACAGUUAUUUUAAA
rnacentral:snRNA from 13 species